GUGGAGAGUUGAGGGGUGUUUCGGAGGAGGGGCGCAAGGACUGCUCACAGGACUUGAAGGGCGGCAGGAAGGUGGAGGAUUCGGCCCAGGUGCGGGACGCAGGCGGUGGAAGGGAAAUGAGCACAAGAGGCGCAGGCAGGAAGGAGAGCGCCUGGUGCGAGAGAGGAAGGAGCGCACCCACCACUCCCAUCCAGCCAUUCCUGGGUCAUCACUUCCUGUAAAGAUGUCAGUUUCCCUGAGGAAGAUCGGGAAGAUCAUCCUGACUUGCUAAUAUGUGCCAAGUGCCUCACCACAUGACCUGACUCUGUGAGGUCUUGCUGUAUUGCCCAAGGCUGGAGGACAGUGAUGCAAUCAUGGCUCCCUGCAGCCUUGAUCUUCUGAGCUCAGUCCCUGCUUUGAUAACCACAGGCAGCUACGGGAAAGAGUGGGAAAAGUGAGAUAGUCCCAAGAAACAGGCAACAGCAGGGAACAAGAUGUGGCUGUGGCAAGCGGCCAGCCAUCCCCGGUGCCGAGGGACCUGGGAGAAGCUAGGGCAGCUCCGGCAUUGUUCCUGCCCUGUGGUCCACAGCCUCGUCUUCAUCUAGCGUCUGCACCCCCUAACCGUCUUUCCAAAGCCUCGGGGAUGGCAGGGAAACUGCAGGGCUUGGGAUCCCGCAGAACCAAAGAGUUGGGAGAAAUCUGCAAUUUUGAGACUGAAGGAACAAGCCUUGUCGUUAUGUUGACACUGAAAAUAGCUUUAUGCUUCCACUCAGUGCCAGCUGAGUCACGGUCCUACUGACAUCUCCUGCCCAUUCAGGGCUUCCCACAUUUCAUCUCCCAGACACACUCUCCUGGCCCUUGCCCUAUUCUCCUUAUUGUAUACUUAAUUUUUUAAUGAACUCUCUCCCUUCCCUUCCCUUUCCUUCCCUCUCUCUCUCUCUUUCUUUCUUUUCUCUUUUUUGGAUGGAGUUUCACUCUUGUCACCCAGGUUGGAGUACAGUGGGGUGAUCUUAGCUCACUGCAACUUCCACCUCCCAGGGUUCAAGCGAUUCUCCUGCCUCAGCCUCCUGAGUAGCUGGGAUUACAGGCGUGCACCACCAUGCCUGGCUAAUUUUUGUAUUUUUAGUAGAGAUGGGGUUUCACCAUUUGACCAGGCUGGUCUUGAACUCCUGACCUCAGGUGAUGUGCCUAACUCGACCUCCCAAAGUGCUGGGAUUACCGGCAUGAGCCACCGUGCGCAGCCCCUCCUUCCCUCCCUUGUCUCCCUCCCCCACUUCCCUCUCCCCCCCUUCUCUCUCCCCCUUCCCCCCCUUCCCUCUCCCCCUCCCCCCUCCCUCCCUCCCUCCCUCCCUUCCUCCCUUCCUUCCUUCCUUCCUUCCUUCCUUCCUUCCUUCCUUCCUUCCCUCUUUCUUGACAGAAUCUCCCUCUGUCACCCAGGCUGGAGUGCAGUGGCACAAUCUCUGCUUGCUACAACCUCGGCCUCCCAGGUUCAAGCGAUUCUGUCACUUCAGCCUCCCUAGUAGCUGGGACUACAGGUGCACACCACCAUGCCCAGCUAAUU
rnacentral:lncRNA from 10 species